UACGGGGGGGGCAAGCGUUGUUCGGAAUUACUGGGCGUAAAGAGCUCGUAGGCGGUUUGUCGCGUCGGCCGUGAAAUCUCCACGCUUAACGUGGAGCGUGCGGUCGAUACGGGCAGACUUGAGUUCGGUAGGGGAGACUGGAAUUCCCGGUGUAGCGGUGAAAUGUGUAGAGAUCGGGAGGAACACCGGUGGCGAAGGCGGGUCUCUGGGCAACUCCUGACGCUGAGGCGCGAAAGCGUGGGGAGCAAACGGG
rnacentral:rRNA from 1 species